rnacentral:rRNA from 1 species
GAUAAACGCUAGCGGCAAGCUUAAUACAUGCAAGUCGAGGGGCAGCAAGACACUUCGGUGUUGUUGGCGACCGGCGGACGGGUGCGUAAUACAUAUGUAAUCUGCCUUGUACUGGGGGAUAACUCUCGGAAACGGGAAUUAAUACGCCAUAUUAUCUUUUUAUUGCAUGAUAGAAAGAUGAAAGCUUUUGCGGUACAAGAUGAGCAUAUGCCCUAUUAGCUUGUUGGUGAGGUAAAGGCUCACCAAGGCAACGAUAGGUAGGGGAUCUGAGAGGAUGUUCCCCCACACUGGUACUGAGACACGGACCAGACUCCUACGGGAGGCAGCAGUAAGGAAUAUUGGUCAAUGGGCGCAAGCCUGAACCAGCUAUGCCGCGUGCAGGAUGAAGGUUAUAAAAUCGUAAACUGCUUUUAUACGAGAAAAAUAAACUUCUGUGGAAGUGAGCGAUGGUAUCGUAUGAAUAAGCACCGGCUAACUCCGUGCCAGCCGCCGCCGUAACAC